rnacentral:rRNA from 1 species
CAUUACUGAGUUUACGCUCUAUAACCCUUUGUGAACAUACCUAUAACUGUUGCUUCGGCGGGUAGGGUCUCCGCGACCCUCCCGGCCUCCCGCCCCCGGGCGGGUCGGCGCCCGCCGGAGGAUAACCAAACUCUGAUUUAACGACGUUUCUUCUGAGUGGUACAAGCAAAUAAUCAAAACUUUUAACAACGGAUCUCUUGGUUCUGGCAUCGAUGAAGAACGCAGCGAAAUGCGAUAAGUAAUGUGAAUUGCAGAAUUCAGUGAAUCAUCGAAUCUUUGAACGCACAUUGCGCCCGCCAGCAUUCUGGCGGGCAUGCCUGUUCGAGCGUCAUUUCAACCCUCAAGCUCUGCUUGGUGUUGGGGCCCUACAGCUGAUGUAGGCCCUCAAAGGUAGUGGCGGACCCUCCCGGAGCCUCCUUUGCGUAGUAACUUUACGUCUCGCACUGGGAUCCGGAGGGACUCUUGCCGUAAAACCCCCAAUUUUCCAAAGGUUGACCUCGGAUCAGGUAGGAAUACCCGCUGAACUUAAGCAUAUCAAUAAGCGGA